GGAUCUUUUUUCAUCACAUUGACGGAAAUGGGCUACCAUAAGUAACUGUAGCUCUUAAAUAAAUGUAGCCAAGUAAAAAGUACAGUAUUAUCUCUGAAAUUUAGUGAAGGAGAAGCAGAAAGUAGCAUAAAAUGGAAAUACUCAAGUUAAGUAUUAAUUAGUACCACAUAUACUAAAAUUUAAGGCGACCACAGAGAAACAUUCCCCAUCAACAGAUAAAACAGCCUUCUAUAAAACCAACUAUAUCAUUGUGAAUUAGCCAUAGACUGUAGAAAGAAAUUAGUUCAUCAUUUAGAGUAACGUUUAAAAAAAAUCCAGUUCUGUUUUUAGGGUGCCAAGCAAGCGUCAUUCGCAAAUUUCCCAUAAUUCACAGCGUGACCGUUACAACAGUCGGACCUCUGCUGUGAAAGCUUUUGGAAACGGCUGUCUGUCACAGAGCUGUUUGUUCUACUUGACAGAAAGUUUAAACAUCUAACAGCAGUUUGUGUAUUACAGGAAGACCAGACGCGGGAAAGAGGGAGAGAGAGUCUAAGUGGAGACUCCGGGAAGUCACUGCAAGAGGGCCAACAAAUAGUACAGCACAUAACCCAAAGAUCCUGCUGCUGAUCAGCUGUAUGUGAACUGUCCACUCCUACCAUUCCCCUGAGCUGAGGCACUUCUCAGACAACCGAAAAUCCCAGGUUUGGUGCGUUCCAUUUACCUCAGAAAUCGGAGGUCGGAGCUGGGAAUGAUGUCACACCUGAGUUGACAGCGUUCCAGUUAACAAGUUGGAAUACCUCGCACAGCCAGCUGUUGUUUACAACUUUGCCAGAGGUGCAGCAGGAUCUGCAGUCUGUGAUGUUGCCUCAGGGGGAGAUUAGGAGGGGCAGCCGGCCCUCUGUGUCACGUCGACAGUCACAGCGCCCAUCCACGGCUGGGCCAAACCCCACUGGGACCUUAAAUCCUGUUACACUGUCAGCUAAAACCAUCAUUUGUAUUAGAGAUGUGUGGGUGUUUAAGUGUGUGUACGUAUUAAGUGAGGGGGGAUAGUGUCUUAAACUAUGAAUUAUUCAUACCAAAAAGAAAAGGAGAUAUUGACUACAUCUCCAUAAACAGACUGCUCUCUUUAUGUCAUCAGGCACGAGAUCUUUGGGUAUAAUUGCAUAAAAGCCCCUGAAAAUGUGCUUCUCCAAUGGCACAGCAGGCACUGGUCAGUGUUAUCAUCGGGGAUGAACUUGAGUGAUGGCAAUUGUUCCAACUUAAUAUCUUAUAAAUAAUUUACUAUUUCAGAGGCAUUGCUAUCCCCCCUAUCAAACAGUAACGUUAAGAAGCUUUACCAACCCACAGCUGUAUGCUAGUUACAGAACACACCAAGCUGUGCUGAAUUAGUCUGGAUCAUUGGUUUGUGAGGGAAAACACAGAUAUGGAUAUGAUGAUACAUGAACCUUAUCAUAAGUGGCUAUAAAUGUAUUUUUUUAGCUUGGAACUAGAGCAAAAAAAUGUAAUAGAGUUGUUGUAAUGUGAGUGGGCUAUUUCCCUCCAUUAUUUAUCUCAGUAACAAGUGAUUAUGGAGAAUGAGAUUCUUUGCACUUCUGGCCCGCGCCUGCAGAGGGAGGUCAAAACUAUUUGUCAGUCUCCAGUUGGGAUUGCAAAUUAGGAUGAGCCUCCCUGCGUGACGACCCAUGAAACCUCUAUUCCUAUCCACGGGGUGACUGCUGUACAUAAUUUGAAAAUUAGGGCCUUUGAUAACAUCUUUAUGUUAAGCAAUACAUCAAGCUGCCACCGCCGUCCUGCCGCUGUGAACAAAAAAAGAGGUGGGUGAAAAUAAGUUUUAAAUCUGCAGUGUUCAGAGCCAUAAAAUUACACAUUUUGCCUGUUUAAUUUUGAGCUUAAGCACAUGGUCAGGCAAACUCCUCGUGAAAAUAAAAGCGCUUUAUAAGGUAUGAUGAAAACAUGUCAUUAACUAGGCUAAAUAAGAAUCUGAAUAAAAGCGAUAGAUUUGUGUUUACCUACAUGUUUCAGUGUGCAACAAAAUUGACAGACUAGGCUAGUUAAUGGCUAAUUGAUGGGAGAAAAUGAAAGGAUAGACUAUAAUAAAACAACAAUGAAAGUGGCUCUCGGAGAUAUAGCAGUCAUUCCGGCAGAUAUUUUGUCUUGUUGAAGGGUUUAACUGCUCCUAAUUUUAAUGGCGCGCCUAAUUACAGGUCCAGCCUUUAUGGAAGAUUAGUGGUGUGAAGCUGAGCACAUUAGGCCUCUUUUAUGAGUAAAAAACAGAUAGCAGCACACGGUCAUGUGGGUAUGCUUUUGGAGCUGAAGAGCUAAAUCGCUGGACAAUUUGUGGGAAGGAAAGCCUAAAUCAGAUGACAUGUAGGCCUAAACAAUAGGCCUACACCUCAGCGGACGACAAGGUAGGCUACGUUUUGUCAGUAAUUAAAGAGGCUAACUCCAAAUACUACUAUACAAAGAAAGUGCGAAUAAUAAAG